rnacentral:lncRNA from 1 species
UCUAGUCUGCAACUCGUCAACCUGUAUUGAAAGAGCCAAACUAUUAAAUGAAUCGCUUAACACCACCAUUGAUCCUUGCACGGACUUCUAUUCAUACGUUUGCGGCCCUUGGGAGAGCACUCAUCCUCUUCCAAGUGAUAGGGACAGCUAUGAUGUUUAUCAGGAGAUUGGUAAAGAUAUACCGCAAAAGCUAAGCUAUAUUCUUGGAAACAGAACCCUGAAUGAGUGUAACCAAACCAUAAUUGACAAGGUGACAAUCAUGUAUAACGCGUGUUUAGGUAAGUUGAGUUAUCAUGUGAAGGCCGAGCUCAUGAAUGCCUAAUUAUGUUGUUUUGCAUCAUCCAACUGAAAUAAUAAAUUGCCUUA